AUGAGUAAUCAAGUGAUCCUGCCCUGGAAGUCAUGGUAUCAUAGUAGAAUAAACUCUUCUGGGUGUUUACAAGGCAUGCAGAAGCUGUUGCCUGGAUAUUGUAUUCCCGUGAGCCAUACUGUCCUGUUGCAAUGUCCUUGCAGCUAUGAAUCUAAACAUUGGCAGAAGAAAAACCCUCCAAAGAUGUUUCUGCACCUCUCAGCCUGGAGCCACCUGAAGCUGCCCUGCAGGUCACUGGCUGUCACCAGGAUUUUCCAAGGACACAGGCCAUCUACCGCUGUUUUGCUGCGAUAAUACGAAGGAAGAGGCCUUACUGAGGCCCUCCCUGAAGACACUGCUCAGCAGCCUGCCACGGGCUAGGGCUCCCAUGCCAGGUGCGGAGGUGGGAUGAGCUUGGUCAUCUUCGUACCAGGGAACUUCAGGCCUGAGACUUUGCAUAUUUGCAAGACUUUUCGCAGCACAUUAUGAGACUUCACUGGUCUGGUUACAAUCGGGUACCUAAAAUCUUCAAACAGGUCUUUGACCCAGUCCCUCCAGGGAGCUAAAAUGAAAUGGGUAACUUGCUAAAAAAGGGGAAAAAAAAGGAGAGAGGAAGGAUUAUAUGACAUGAUGAUGGAGAUCUGAGGGAAUGGGUUCAGCACUGAGGCGGUUUUCGGAUAAGAACAGAAAUUUGAACUUAACAAUUCCAAAAGCAUUUGUUGCAGCACUGUAUAAAAUAACAUUUCUAUUCCAAUUCAGAUUUGUUAUUUUUAUUUUAAAAAUUGGAAAAGCAGAUGGGGAAUGUGUGGUGCUUUUUAUUCAUUACUGCACAAUAGCCAACCUUCAUUUGUAGAACUGCUGUCUUGGCAAAAGUCAGUUUUAAAUGUGUACAUGAAAUUCCUCAGUUUUAUAACGAUAAAUAUCUGAAACUAAGGUGAUAUUCUUUAUACAAAGAACUUUCAUUGAUCUGCCUUUCUUUUGUGAGAGUUUUAAGUAUACAAGGAAUGUAAGAUCAAAAUCAAUAUACUAUCAUAUUGAAAAACUUCGGAGAAAUUUUUGGUUGAGCUCAUAUUAUUUUUGAGCAAAGAGAACGAGUGAAAGGCAAUAGUCACACAAGGCUUUUUCUUUUAAUUGGCUAUGAUAACUGCAUUAAUAUAAAGCCUGAUUUUUUGAUUUACUGUUAUGUUCUUAUAUCUCACUUUACAAUAAAGUCCUCUUCCUACCACUACUUAAGGUAAUG
rnacentral:lncRNA from 1 species